ensembl:lncRNA
AUUAAGGGGUGAGGCAUGUCAUUACCUAGGUGUUAUUAUUAAGGGGAGAGGUGUGUCAUUACCUAGGUGUUAUUAUUAAGGGGAGAGGUGUGUCAUUACCUAGGUGGUGUUAUUAAGGGGAAAGGUGUGUCAUUAUCUAGGUGUUGUUAUUAAGGGGAGAGGUGUGUCAUUAUUUAGGUGGUGUUAUAAUGAAGGUGAGAGGUGUGUCAUUACCUAGGUGUUAUUAUUAAGGGGAGAGGUGUGUCAUUACCUAGGUGGUGUUAUUAAGGGGAGAGGUGUGUCAUUACCUAGGUGUUAUUAUUAAGGGGUGAGGCAUGUCAUUACCUAGGUGUUAUUAUUAAGGGGAGAGGUGUUAUUAUUAAGGGGAGAGGUGUGUCAUUAUCUAGGUGUUGAUAUUAAGGGGAGAGGUGUGUCAUUAUUUAGGUGGUGUUAUAAUGAAGGGGAGAGGUGUGUCAUUACCUAGGUGUUAUUAUUAAGGGGAGAGGUGUGUCAUUACCUAGGUGGUGUUAUUAAGGGGAGAGGUGUGUCAUUAUCUAGGUGGUGUUAUGAAGGGGUGCGGUGUGUCAUUAUCUAGGUGGUGUUAUGAAGGGGAGAGGUGUGUCAUUAUCUAGGUGGUGUUAUGAAGGGGAGAGGUGUGUCAUUAUCUAGGUGGUGUUAUGAAGGGGAGAGGUGUGUCAUUAUCUAGGUGGUGUUAUGAAGGGGAGAUGUGUGUCAUUAUCUAGGUGGUGUUAAAAUUGGGAGAGGUGUGUCAUUACCUAGGUGGUGUUAUGAAGGGGAGAGGUGUGUCAUUAUCUAGGUGGUGUUAUGAAUGGGAGAGGUGUGUCAUUAUCUAGGUGGUGUUAUGAAGGGGAGAGGUGUGUCAUUAUCUAGGUGGUGUUAUGAAGGGAAGAG